rnacentral:lncRNA from 1 species
AUGGUUAUCCAGAUUGGUGGACAGAUUUUCAAGCUCGGAAGCAUCGAGAUACAAGCACUUCUGAUAGCGAUCCAGGAACAGCUGCUGUAGCUUCUGCAGAACCACAUUUGUCACUCAUUCCAUCAUCAAGCUCCCACCUUACACAAGGUAAUGCUCUAAUUUUCUCUAAUCCUGUCGACGACCGCAAUGCUUGGAUACUUGAUUCCGGUGCUACCGAUCACAUGACAUUUGAUGUGGCUGAUUUUUCCAAACGCUCAACUCCUCGACGCAAAAGUAUUUCCAAUGCUAAUGGUGGCUUAUCGUCGGUAACAGGGGCUGGGACUGUGAUGUUAUCACCCUCUCUUUUACUAUCUAAUACGCUGCUUGUUCCAUCUCUCUCUCAUAAGUUGCUAUCCGUGAGUCAAGUUACAAACGACUUGAAUUGUG